UCUAUGCGUGCAGACAGGACUGGUGCCGCUUUGUGAGUGUGAAGCCCGGUGUCCCAGUCCAAACUAUCCGGGUCUAAAGUAUCCUACCCGGAUAGUCUAGACUAUCCGGCCGGGUACUUUGUCCUAGGCUAGACUAUCCUCUAUCCGGACAAACUAUCCGGGUACAGAUCGUGAAUGCGUGCUAGGGAAAUUCAUGGACAAGAAGGGCGGUCAACAAACGGUCAACAAACACAAACGUCGCUCUUUUUUGGACGUUUUUUUCUAGAAGGAUGCUUUAAUUGAGCUAGGCAUCUGGAUGCGAUGACUUCAACAUGGCAACUACACUCAAGUUAUCUAGAAUCAAUUGACUGAGUCGAUCAGCCUUGCAAAAGUCUUAAAGAUAUUUAUUUAGCAGACACAUUGUAAUGUUUGUUUAUCUAUGAAUAUCGUAUAAAGUUUUCGUUCAAUAGAACAGAGAACACAUUUCA